UACGUAGGGCGCAAGCGUUGUCCGGAAUUAUUGGGCGUAAAGAGCUCGUAGGUGGUUUGUCGCGUUGUCCGUGAAAACUCACAACUCAAUUGUGGGCGUGCGGGCGAUACGGGCAGACUGGAGUACUGCAGGGGAGACUGGAAUUCCUGGUGUAGCGGUGGAAUGCGCAGAUAUCAGGAGGAACACCGGUGGCGAAGGCGGGUCUCUGGGCAGUAACUGACGCUGGAGGAGCGAAAGCGUGGGGAGCGAACAGG
rnacentral:rRNA from 1 species